CUCUGGGAACUUACACUUAGAUCCAGAGACACAGACUGAGUUUCGCCUCUGUGGACUGGCACAUGACAGUGAGCUGCUCUCAAGGUAACUCAACCUAAGACAUUGAAUAAUUAGAUAUGGAGGGAGAAGAAAAAGGAAACAUACUGAUGAACUUGUUUUUCUGUCCUGGCAAACUGGAUUAUGGGAGCACCUUUGAACAGGAUGGAGGGGAGCCAUGUUUGGAGGUACCGUUGACUCAUUAAAGAAGAAUAAAACUGUGAGAAUGCUAUUGGGCAGUUCACAGAGUCCCUAGGAGGACUGGAAAAUCAGGUUUAUGGCCAUCCAGCCAGACAUAACGCCCAGACACAACAAAGGGUUGGUCUGAUGAGGACAUAUUGCCAAUAUUGGCAAGCAGCUUUUACCACUCAUAUAUUUAGAUGUUCAUGGAUGCUGCACGUAGCACCAUCAACAUUACCUUCCAAGACAAAUAAUAUUGAUUCAUCAUCCACUCCUUUUAGGGAAAGUUGGUCAGAGUUAUACCAACUCUGUCUUUAAAGUUUGAGGUAAGUUCAUCCACUUGACAGACCCUAAGCUAUGUAGUCAUACCUUAGUUGCAAGGGAAGCUGAAAGAACAGAGUCACAAUAAAGAAGCUGAAAGAACAGGGUCACAAUAAAGAAGGUGGGAAAUUCUUCAAACAGGAAAGUGAUUAUAGCAACACAAUAAGAUAGCAAAUAGCAGUUACAAAAGAGGAGGUACAGUUUGGGCUGAGAAUAAAUAAAAAAUACCACCACGGUCGUGGAGUAGUAAGGUGAAGUAGAAAAUAGGUGUUCUAUUUGGAUCGUGUCGAUGAAGGGUUAGGAAUGGAUGGUCUCCAGAGAAGGCUGAUUCCUCCCAUUCUUGUACAUGCCUGCUACUUCCAUCAAUGAAGUCCACUUCCUGUCUUAGACUAACCUGUUGAGUAGUUUUGAUCAAUGUAAAGUGGUAAAAGUAAUCCUGUGCCAGUUUCAGGAUUAGUCCAUAAGAGUCCUGGAAACAUAUUUGUUUUUUUGGAAACCAGCCACCAUGGUGUGAAGCUGAGGCUAGACAACUGAAAAGUGAGACCACUUGGAAAGAGAAAAGCAACAUGGAAGAGAACCAGGGUUCCCCAGCCAACAGUCCAUGCCACAACCCAGACACCUAGGGAGGUUCUCUUUAAUGCUCCAGCCCAAAACAAGCUUCCAGCCACGAGAGCGGUCUCAAACAACCAGUAUACUGAUAGAUUCACCCACAGAAUCAUGAGA
rnacentral:lncRNA from 1 species